rnacentral:rRNA from 1 species
AACGUAGGGCGCGAGCGUUAUCCGGAUUCACUGGGCGCAAAGCGCGUUGAGGCGGCUCCGUAAGUUGGGCGUGAAAGCCCCGGGCUUAACCCGGGGAGGGCGUCCAAUACUGCGGGGCUUGAGGGCAGCAGAGGGAGGUGGAAUUCCCGGUGUAGUGGUGAAAUGCGUAGAUAUCGGGAGGAAACCCCGUGGCGAAGGCGGCCUCCUGGGCUGCUCCUGGCGCUGAAGGCGCAAGCCUGGGGAGCGAACGGG